UGUAAAUUUAACCAGCGCCGUUGAAAAGGCUUAUUAAGAGUCGGCUUUUCACUUUCUCUGCUGCAGAAGUCCGUCCCUGUAAACGUGCACAUUAUUGACCUGGCUGAGCCGAUCAGAGGGGUCGAACUUGAGAUCCGGCUUCGACCACUCCGUCGUCAGACCCUCCACAUUGUAAGUGGGAUCCAGGUGGUACGGCAGAAUGAUGUCAUCGCUCGGACUAGUGAUGAUUCGCUGAAGUGAGCCAAUCACACGACACUGGCCUGGAGAAAGGAGGGAAAUUUAAACCUUGGACUCUGAUCUGCUGUGUGUUGAAACAUUUUAUAAUGAUUAACCAAUGGUACAAUAUUAACUUAACUGUUUCAGUAAAUUUCCAGGAACAAUAAAUGUAUUUUAAUCGCUUAGUCUAGAAGAUGGUGAAAAUGCAAACUACAGUUUCCUGAACAGGGGGGCCGCCAGGAAUUUUGCGCCCAUGACCUCCUCUGUACAGCUGUUGUCACCACAUCUCUAGGAUUUAACUGUCCCAUCAAAAGCUUUACAUAACUCUAACUAUAGGCUUGCAAGUGUCUGGCUUCUUGUACUAGCACAAUAUUUACUGAUGAUGAUUUGAACAUGCAAGUCUGCAUACAGGAUGCAGUUCACUAUUUGCAUCUCAAAUAUAUUGCCCUUCAUGAUGGGAAUAAUAAAGUCUGUAUCUAUAGAUGUCA